rnacentral:hammerhead_ribozyme from 1 species
CACCAACUGACGAGUCCCGAAUAAGAUGAAAUGUGCAUCCUGGUG